AUUCCUUUAAAAUUAAUUUUUAGUGAAUUUUUAAAUGAAACGUUCGUCAAAAAUAUUGUUUUAUAAUCUCAAGUGAUCAAGAAAUGGAGUGAUUUGUAAUUUUUGAAAAUGUUGAGUUACUUUUAUUACUUCUUAGUGCGUUUGGGGUGAUUUUCAAAAUACGCGAAGUUGCACACUGACCAAAAUUAUUGUGAGAAGCUAAACACCUUCAAGAUUUGCUAUACUACGGCGAAGAACUCUAAAUAUACCUACCGUAAUCUGUAUUCGUAUGGAAUUGUCAUAUAAACAAUAAGAAACAUUAGUAUGGAAAAGUGAAAGUAUUCUAUCACAAAUGAAAAUUGGAAAACUUUGGUGGUGUCGUAGAGCACUAAAACUUCAGGCGUUCAGUCUCUAUUUUGACGACGGAGUUCGAGCUUUUUGGUGUUCCACUAUUGUUAUUUUAAACUAUUUAGGUCAAUUUUAAACAAUUAAAAAAAAUUGUUACAUAAUAAAUUUUCUUCAGUGGU